rnacentral:rRNA from 1 species
CCUACGGGGGGCAGCAGUGAGGAAUAUUGGUCAAUGGACGAGAGUCUGAACCAGCCAAGUAGCGUGAAGGAUGACUGCCCUAUGGGUUGUAAACUUCUUUUAUAAAGGAAUAAAACGAGGCACGUGUGCCUGUUUGCAUGUACUUUAUGAAUAAGGAUCGGCUAACUCCGUGCCAGCAGCCGCGGUAAUACGGAGGAUCCGAGCGUUAUCCGGAUUUAUUGGGUUUAAAGGGAGCGUAGAUGGGUUGUUAAGUCAGUUGUGAAAGUUUGCGGCUCAACCGUAAAAUUGCAAUUGAUACUGGCAGUCUUGAGUACAGUUGAGGUAGGCGGAAUUCGUGGUGUAGCGGUGAAAUGCUUAGAUAUCACGAAGAACCCCGAUUGCGAAGGCAGCUUACUAAACUGUGACUGACAUUGAUGCUCGAAAGUGUGGGUAUCAAACAGGAUUAGAUACCCGAGUAGUC